UUCCUGGAUUGCUGAGGGAAGGGAGAAGGGAGGCAGAACAAUCAAGUCUUAAGUUCCUCAUCCCUAUCUCAAGCAAAAUGACGUGAAUUUAAUUGGAAGGGUGUUUUGGACUCAACAGUUUAAUAUGGAGGUCUGGCAUUAUAGCAAUUCCAGGACAAGGAUCGGAAAUUGAUGGGAAAAUAAAGCCCAUGGAGAAACAGAAGACUUCCUGUCAUUCUCUGUCCUUAGACCCACGAGCAAUAGUGACUCUCAGAUGGAGCAGGAAGAAGGAAGACAGACAACAGAGUCGUGAUAAAUGGGAAACUGCAGCAACUCAAUAAAGACAAGACCACCAAUGACUCAAAUCCUGCAGGAAUGAAGUGCUGUGUCACCCGACAGGAAUUACCGAGAAGCAACAAGAAGAAUUUUUAAAAACUACAUUCUCCUUUAGCUAUGUAACAAGGAGACAGAUCGAAACCUCUUAGGCAAAUGGAGGAAACGCUGCCACGCGCAGUGGAAACAAGCAGAUGGGUUUGGGGAGGACCAGGACAGCAAACACUGAGGCUUCUGGUAACAGACAAACCAGCAACCAACACUUCUCACAGAUGAAAGAAACAUCCUGAAGCAUAACCCCUAAGGUCUCUCUUCAUAAGAGCAGAAAUAGUGUACAUAUGCUGGAAUCUGAAAUGUUCCUGCUCAAGUUUAGACCCUGAGAAGCAUAGUAAAUAGAGCUAAAUAAAAGUCAGACUGACGAGUCCUGUUUUUCUGAAGCAGUCUGCCUCAGUGGCUUCAAGGGAGAAGGAAGCCAUUGCAUCGAGAAACAUCCCAGAACUUCCCAACGCCAUUAGAUGGCAAGAAGUAAAGAUCACAUGAUUUCACACACAAAACCCUUGGCAGUAAAGGAAAUUCCUGCAAACCAACCUUCCUUUGAACAAAUAUGUAGGAAAUAUCUGAGAGGGGAAAAAUACUCACCUAUGACUUAAAUGAUUCAUCAAAAAGGAAACAGCAGAAAAUCUUCACGGCUGCACUAUAAGAAAAGGAAGAAAACCUAGAAGAUGAAAAUUGUGGCGAAAUUUCAUUGGGGGUUAAAAAACAAUCAACCAAGCUAUUGAUUCUCUGAAACAAAGCACAAAAGCACAAAAUGCAACAGUUGCAGAAAGUGAUUUCCAACAGACAUAAUAACUUAACAAGGAGUAGGCGUUGUUCAGGGUAGAGGUGUAAGA